UAACAUCUUCUUGCCAAAGGGACAUGAAAUAGCCCUUGACGAUUAUGAGGCUCUUCCACAAGAGAAGAGGGUUGAAUGUCAGGAAGCUAUCAGCUUUGUGGACAAGAUAAAGGUGAAAAUAUUGUUUCGCUCUGUUGAAUUUCAACUGCAAAUGUUGGUUCCUUGCGGUUUAAUGAGGACCUUUGUUCCUACUGAUACGCUUUCAAAAUGAUGAACAUGUUUAUAAAGCAUUCUUAGACAUUUGGAAUAAGUACUGGAAUGAGCACAAGGACAUAAAUGAUGUCUACAAUGAGAUUUACUCUCUUUUCAAUGGUCAUGCGGAUUUGCUUGAUGAGUUCAGAAGAUUUCUUCUGGAAGCUGCAUAUCUUUCAGCAGAGGAUUUUGGUUUGUGAACUGUGAACUAGAUAAAGGGUCAAAUUUGGAGAUGCUCUGCUUUUAUAUUGCUGGACUAUCAAAACUGAUGCUGUUGUUGAGAAAUCAGGUGAAGUCAACAAACUUCCUACAGGCCCCAGUUCUGGGCAAUCACUCCUGCUUAAAUCCAAGGCUGCUUCACAUUCAGGCAUUCGACCAACCAAAAACAGAUUGCAGCACUUUAGCUCACUGAGCACAGCAAUUGUAUCUGCAGCAUUUCUGACCAAUUUCUCUUCAUAUUUGAUGGAGUCAUCCUUGGCCAUAUUCUGCUUGAAUUUAGCAAGGAACUCCUCAUCUGAUGACCUCAAUUCGGUGCUAGAAGAGGAGUCUAUAUUCACUCUGACAAUUUCUCCCAUGCUUUCAGGUUCCACUAUGAAACGAAUGACCAUUAGUCUUAUACCAGGGUGUUCAGCCAUGCGAACCCCAUAAGCAAGGGCUUCACGGUCAUCACAGCCCCCAAAGAAGGGGACUAUAAUGAAAUAAGAAACAUUACUCGCUGCUACUUGAGUGGUUCCACCAAGUCCACGAUCAACCAAAAUCCCUACUGAGCACUGUGCAUGUUCAAGAACCUUAAGAUUAACCAAGACAAAGUCAUUUCGGGUAGUCUCGAGUGAACCAUCCACUCUUUGGUGCUUAUGGAAUGGAAGAAUUAUAAUUGCAGCUCUAUUUGUCUCAGCAGUGUUACAGAUGUCUUCAUGCAUGUCUGACAUUGAUGAGAUUGCUUUCAUUGACCGGAUGGACACAUGACUUAAUUGCCUGUAAGCCUCAAACGCCACAACAACAUGGUUAGAAUCUGAUUGCUGGCUCUUAUUCCAGAAGGGCAACCCAUGUUUUCUUGCCUUAUGUACCAUUAUUAUAGCUGAGGACCUCUCAGAGAGUUCCAUGAGGUGCAGUGCAUCCACAGAAAGUCCUUCACGCUUCUCAGAUCCUCUUGAGGCCUCAAGGAGGUUAAUAAUUGAUGGAAUGUUUCUUGCACUGUGGUAGCAGGUCAAAAUCCUAAGUUGGGUAUUUGGAUUCUUCCUUUCAAUUGUUCUAUUCUUGUAAUCAGCCAUUCUUUUCCUUUUUUCUGGCUUAUAUAUUGCCAUGACAAUAGGUGUGGUGAUGAAGGUAGUGAACAGGGCCAUUAGAACCAUAAUGGCAAAAGUCUGGUCGUUCAAUACCUGCAAAUGGAAAAGGCAAAGCUGUUAGAACCAUAAGAUCUUGAUUCCCACCAUAAACUGAAUGAACACUGACAUUACCUUUCUAUCUUUACCAAUGUUGAGAACAAUGAGUUCAACCAAGCCUUUAGUGUUCAUUAGGAAUCCCAAUGUGAGAGCUUCACGGAGAGGUGCUUUGCAAAGAAGAGUCACCAAAAGAGUGCCAAAUAUCUUCCCAAAACAGGCAGUAAAUAUGACUAAAACCAGAAGACCCCAUGAUUGAAGCCCCUGAAUUGUGGCUAUAUUUGUCCUCAAUCCACUUGAAACAAAGUACAGUGGCAGGAAGAGACCAGAUACAAGAUCCUCAACUUUUUCCACAAGAGUGCCUGCAAAUGGCCCAUCCUUUGGUAUGAGAACUCCAAUCACGAAAGCACCGAACAUGGCAUGAAUUCCAAUAGCAUCAGUAACAAGCCCAGCAGCCAGAACAACGGCCAAUGUAGCACAAAUGUAAGUCUCUUUUACUGGCUCGCCUUCAUGGCAUCUCUGGGCUAUCCAUUUGAAGAUUGGGGGAACAAUCAAAAUUGCACAAACAAAAAAAACGCAGCCAGAUAAGAAGAUCCAAAGCGGGACAAGGGAAGAUUUGCCAGUGCCAGAGAGUGCAAUGGCAAGAGCAAGUAGAAUCCAAGCAGCCACAUCAUUGACUGCUGCAGCUGACAUAGCCAUUUUUCCAACAUCAGUGGUUAAAAGUUUCAGUUCAGCCAGAAUACGAGCUAAGACAGGGAAGGCAGUUAUGGAGAGGGCCACACCCAUGAAGACAAGAAACGCAUUUCCAUUUACACCUUUAGAUAUUGUUUCUUUUAGGACGUAUGAGGAACCAAUUCCUAAUGCAAAAGGAAGGCUGAUUCCUGCAAGAGCAAUGCCCAAUGCUUUCUUUCCAGUCCGACGAAGAGAUUUAGGAUCUAACUCAAGUCCUGCCAGAAAUAGAAAUAAUAGAAGACCAAUGUUUGCUAGAGUAUCUAAGACUGGGAGACUUUUUGGUGGGAAAAUUGCUUGCAUAUAGCUUUUGCUUCGUCCCAGAGCUGAUGGCCCAAGUAAUAUUCCUCCCUUUCAAAUAGCAACACAAGGUAAACUCACUAAAAUGUAAACAAAUUUAAGCAAUGGUAGCUAUUUCUGUCUGGCUGA